UACGAAGGGGGCUAGCGUUGCUCGGAAUCACUGGGCGUAAAGGGUGCGUAGGCGGGUCUUUAAGUCGGGGGGGAAAUCCUGGAGCUCAACUCCAGAACUGCCUUCGAUACUGGCGAUCUUGAGUCCGGAAGAGGUGAGUGGAACUCCUAGUGUAGAGGUGGAAUUCGUAGAUAUUAGGAAGAACACCAGUGGCGAAGGCGGCUCACUGGUCCGGUACUGACGCUGAGGUGCGAAAGCGUGGGGAGCAAACAGG
rnacentral:rRNA from 1 species